rnacentral:rRNA from 1 species
UACGGGGGGGGCAAGCGUUGUUCGGAAUUACUGGGCGUAAAGGGCUCGUAGGCGGCCAACUAAGUCAGACGUGAAAUCCCUCGGCUUAACCGGGGAACUGCGUCUGAUACUGGAUGGCUUGAGUCUGGGAGAGGGAUGCGGAAUUCCAGGUGUAGCGGUGAAAUGCGUAGAUAUCUGGAGGAACACCGGUGGCGAAGGCGGCAUCCUGGACCAACACUGACGCUGAGGAGCGAAAGCCAGGGGAGCAAACGGG